ACGAACGCUGGCGGCGUGCUUAACACAUGCAAGUCGAACGGAAAGGCCCUGCUUGCAGGGUACUCGAGUGGCGAACGGGUGAGUAACACGUGGGUGAUCUGCCCUGCACUUCGGGAUAAGCCUGGGAAACUGGGUCUAAUACCGGAUAGGAGCCAUUUUUAGUGUGAUGGUUGGAAAGUUUUUUCGGUGUAGGAUGAGCUCGCGGCCUAUCAGCUUGUUAGUGGGGUAAUGGCCUACCAAGGCGGCGACGGGUAGCCGGCCUGAGAGGGUGGACGGCCACAUUGGGACUGAGAUACGGCCCAGACUCCUACGGGAGGCAGCAGUGGGGAAUAUUGCACAAUGGGCGCAAGCCUGAUGCAGCGACGCCGCGUGGGGGAUGACGGCCUUCGGGUUGUAAACUCCUUUCGCUAGGGACGAAGCUUUUUGUGACGGUACCUAGAGAAGAAGCACCGGCUAACUACGUG
rnacentral:rRNA from 1 species